rnacentral:rRNA from 1 species
GUACGUUACAACCAGGAGACUAGUCUUGCCAGGUUUGACGAAUUCCCCCUUGGAUCCAGACUUUGAUCCUGGCUCAGGAUGAACGCUAGCUACAGGCUUAACAACAUGCAAGUCGAGGGGAAACGAUUAUUGGAAGCUUGCUUCCGAUAGGCGUCGACCCGGCGCACGGGUGAGUAACGCGUAUCCAACCUGCCCAUCACUUGGGGAUAACCUUGCGAAAGUAAGACUAAUACCCAAUGACGUCUCUAGAAGACAUCUGAAAGAGAUUAAAGAUUUAUCGGUGAUGGAUGGGGAUGCGUCUGAUUAGCUUGUUGGCGGGGUAACGGCCCACCAAGGCAACGAUCAGUAGGGGUUCUGAGAGGAAGGUCCCCCACAUUGGAACUGAGACACGGUCCAAACUCCUACGGGAGGCAGCAGUGAGGAAUAUUGGUCAAUGGACGAGAGUCUGAACCAGCCAAGUAGCGUGCAGGAUGACGGCCCUAUGGGUUGUAAACUGCUUUUAUAAGGGAAUAAAGUGAGUCUCGUGAGACUUUUUGCAUGUACCUUAUGAAUAAGGACCGGCUAAUUCCGUGCCAGCAGCCGCGGUAAUACGGAAGGUCCGGGCGUUAUCCGGAUUUAUUGGGUUUAAAGGGAGCGUAGGCCGGAGAUUAAGCGUGUUGUGAAAUGUAGACGCUCUACGUCUGCACUGCAGCGCGAACUGGUUUCCUUGAGUACGCACAAAGUGGGCGGAAUUCGUGGUGUAGCGGUGAAAUGCUUAGAUAUCACGAAGAACUCCGAUUGCGAAGGCAGCUCACUGGAGCGCAACUGACGCUGAAGCUCGAAAGUGCGGGUAUCGAACAGGAUUAGAUACCCUGGUAGUCCGCACGGUAAACGAUGGAUGCCCGCUGUUGGUCUGAAUAGGUCAGCGGCCAAGCGAAAGCAUUAAGCAUCCCACCUGGGGAGUACGCCGGCAACGGUGAAACUCAACGGACUCGACGCAGGGACGAUCAGGCGUCCGCU